rnacentral:rRNA from 1 species
GACGAACGCUGGCGGCGUGCUUAACACAUGCAAGUCGAACGGAAAGGCCCUGCUUGCAGGGUACUCGAGUGGCGAACGGGUGAGUAACACGUGGGUGAUCUGCCCUGCACUUCGGGAUAAGCUUGGGAAACUGGGUCUAAUACCGGAUAGGAGCCAUCUUUAGUGUGGUGGUUGGAAAGUUUUUUCGGUGUAGGAUGAGCUCGCGGCCUAUCAGCUUGUUGGUGGGGUAAUGGCCUACCAAGGCGGCGACGGGUAGCCGGCCUGAGAGGGUGUACGGCCACAGUGGGACUGAGAUACGGCCCAGACUCCUACGGGAGGCAGCAGUGGGGAAUAUUGCACAAUGGGCGCAAGCCUGAUGCAGCGACGCCGCGUGGGGGAUGAAGGCCUUCGGGUUGUAAACUCCUUUCGCUAGGGACGAAGCUUUUUUGUGACGGUACCUAGAUAAGAAGCACCGGCUAACUACGU